rnacentral:rRNA from 1 species
ACUCCUACGGGAGGCAGCAGUGGGGAAUAUUGCACAAUGGGCGCAAGCCUGAUGCAGCCAUGCCGCGUGUAUGAAGAAGGCCUUCGGGUUGUAAAGUACUUUCAGCAGUGAGGAAGGUGGGUAUGUUAAUAGCAUAUUCUAUUUGUACGUUAGCUGCAGAAGAAGCACCGGCUAACUCCGUGCCAGCAGCCGCGGUAAUACGGAGGGUGCGAGCGUUAAUCGGAAUUACUGGGCGUAAAGCGCAUGCAGGUGGUUUGUUAAGUCAGAUGUGAAAGCCCGGGGCUCAACCUCGGAAUUGCAUUUGAAACUGGCAAACUAGAGUACUGUAGAGGGGGUAGAAUUUCAGGUGUAGCGGUGAAAUGCGUAGAGAUCUGAAGGAAUACCGGUGGCGAAGGCGGCCCCUGGACAGAUACUGACACUCAGAUGCGAAAGCGUGGGAGCAAACAGGAUUAGAUACCCCGU